rnacentral:rRNA from 1 species
CUAACUACGGGGCAGCAGCCGCGGUCGUACGGAGGGUGCAAGCAGUAUCCGGAGUGACUGGGCGUAAAGAGUUGCGUAGGCGGUGAGUAAAGCGAAUAGUGAAACCUGGUGGCUCAACCAUACAGACUAUUAUUCGAACUCACUAACUCGAGAAUGGUAGAGGUAACUGGAAUUUCUAGUGUAGGAGUGAAAUCCGUAGAUAUUAGAAGGAACACCAAUGGCGUAGGCAGGUUACUGGACCAUUUCUGACGCUAAGGCACGAAAGCGUGGGGAGCGAACCGGAUUAGAUACCCUAGUAGUC